UAUAGGUAGACAUUCCUGAUGGCACUGUGUGCUUUGCCACUCAGCUGUACGGCAUCAUCAUCACGAGAAAGCAAAGUCAACGCUGCUGCGUUCAUGUCGAAAUAGGAACUCGGAAGUUUCAAAUAUAUAGCGUUGGGGGGUGGACCAGUGCCAGGGCUGUGGUAUGGCUCACUGCCAUGGCACACCUGAAUGGAAGACAUGGAAUUAGUGACAGAUGUGCUUCCUGGUAUAACAAGUCAAAAUUAUAUCCGUGAGAGGGGUUUAUUGCCUGUCUGGGGUAUAUUGCUAUUAGGUCAGUUCUGCUGUUUACUGGUCUAUGAGAUCUAGAUUAAGGGAGAAAGAACAGAUAAAGCAAAACCUAUGUUGCCCAGAAUAAAACGUUGUUACCGAUGCUAAAGCUACUGUAUGUCAGUGAAAUGUGGAUGUUUACAUUUCUGUAUGUUUAAGCAUUUAUAAACCACUUUAAUGGAUUUAAAGCAUUACAAAUAUAACUACAAAAAUUAGGGCUUUGUGUGUUUGGAUAAAUACAGAAAUUUAAAAAAAUGCAAUAGUAACAGCAAUUAAAAUUGCUUUCUUGCAGUUUUUGUUUUUAAACUGGAACAUUUUCCAAUAAUUUCCAGUGAAUCAAGCUUUGCUCUCUUGGGUGCAGUUUUGAACCAUUCUGUUGUUUCUGCGGUGAAGCUGGACGUUUGAAAAGAACGGAUUUACCUGUAUGUUGCAAUAUAGUGCUUCAAGAGGGUGACACGUUUACCUAGAACUAUUAUAAAUUUGGAAUUUCCUAUUCUUUAAUGUGCUUAGAACGCAUCACAUCGCACCCCCCUGUUCCCACAAUGCACUGCGAAGGAGCAUGGCUGACUUGUCAUCCAAACGAGAAUGAAUGUGCUGUUUCCGUGUUAUAUCAGCUGACAUCCCUUUUAAAGAAUCUAAUAUUCAAGUCUGUGAAGUUACUCUUACAGGUUAUGUUUUUGUAAACGUGCUGUGAGGAGCCGACGAGUCCCUGCGUUUAUUUCCGCAGUACCCACCUGUGAUAGCUGACCAGAGCCAAAAUGGCUGGAGUUGUAGCCAAGCGUGAGGGACCACAGUUCAUCAGUGAAGUAGCUGUGAGGGGCAACGCCGCUGUGCUGGACUACUGCCGCACCUCUGUAUCCGCUCUGUCUGGAGCAACAGCUGGCAUCCUCGGGUUGACUGGACUGUAUGGCUUUAUUUUUUAUUUCCUCUCCGCGUUUCUCCUCUCCCUGCUGCUCAUUCUCAAGGCCGGACGGAGGUGGAACAAAUGCUUUAAAUCGCGGCGGCUGCUCUUCACUGGGGGCCUUGUCGGAGGUCUUUUCACUUACGUCCUGUUCUGGACUUUCCUCUACGGAAUGGUGCAUGUGUACUAAAAUGAUCUACCACCUAUAAUCCUGAAUUAAUCCUAUCUAAUGCUACAUAAACCAAUAAUAUGUCUGUCCUGCUGUUUGUAGAUAAGCCAUUAGUGAAAGACUUUUGAUUUUUACAUUUUAAACUGUUGAUUAAACAGAGGAUGUGUCAAUAAUUAUAGUAUGCAGAAUAAACUGUCCUCUUAUCCUUCCUGCUCCACA